AUUGAACGCUGGCGGCAUGCCUUACACAUGCAAGUCGAACGGUAACAGGUUAAGCUGACGAGUGGCGAACGGGUGAGUAAUGUAUCGGAACGUGCCCAGUCGUGGGGGAUAACUGCUCGAAAGAGCAGCUAAUACCGCAUACGACCUGAGGGUGAAAGCGGGGGAUCGCAAGACCUCGCGCGAUUGGAGCGGCCGAUAUCAGAUUAGGUAGUUGGUGGGGUAAAGGCCUACCAAGCCUACGAUCUGUAGCUGGCCUGAGAGGACGACCAGCCACACUGGGACUGAGACACGGCCCAGACUCCUACGGGAGGCAGCAGUGGGGAAUUUUGGACAAUGGACGCAAGUCUGAUUCAGCCAUGCCGCGUGCGGGAAGAAGGCCUUCGGGUUGUAAACCGCUUUUGUCAGGGAAGAAAAGGUUCUGGUUAAUACCUGGGACUCAUGACGGUACCUGAAGGAUAAGCACCGGCUAACUACGUGCCAGCAGCCGCCGUAAUAC
rnacentral:rRNA from 1 species